rnacentral:rRNA from 1 species
GACGAACGCUGGCGGCGCGCCUAACACAUGCAAGUCGAACGAGCGAGAGAGAGCUUGCUUUCUCGAGCGAGUGGCGAACGGGUGAGUAACGCGUGAGGAACCUGCCUCAAAGAGGGGGACAACAGUUGGAAACGACUGCUAAUACCGCAUAAGCCCACGACCCGGCAUCGGGUAGAGGGAAAAGGAGCAAUCCGCUUUGAGAUGGCCUCGCGUCCGAUUAGCUAGUUGGUGAGGUAACGGCCCACCAAGGCGACGAUCGGGAGCCGGACGGAGAGGUUGAACGGCCGCAUUGGGACUGGGACACGGCCCAGACUCCUACGGGAGGCAGCAGUGGGGAAUAAUGCACAAUGGGGGAAACCCUGAUGCAGCGACGCCGCGUGGAGGAAGAAGGUCUUCGGAUUGUAAACUCCUGUUGUUGAGGAAGAUAAUGACGGUACUCAACAAGGAAGUGACGGCUAACUACGU